rnacentral:rRNA from 1 species
GACGAACGCUGGCGGCGUGCCUAAUACAUGCAAGUAGAACGCACAGUUUAUACCGUAGCUUGCUACACCAUAGACUGUGAGUUGCGAACGGGUGAGUAACGCGUAGGUAACCUGCCUGGUAGCGGGGGAUAACUAUUGGAAACGAUAGCUAAUACCGCAUAAUAUUAAUUAUUGCAUGAUAAUUAAUUGAAAGGUGCAAUUGCACCACUACCAGAUGGACCUGCGUUGUAUUAGCUAGUAGGUGAGGUAACGGCUCACCUAGGCGACGAUACAUAGCCGACCUGCGAGGGUGAUCGGCCACACUGGGACUGAGACACGGCCCAGGCUCCUACGGGAGGCAGCAGUAGGGAAUCUUCGGCAAUGGACGAAAGUCUGACCGAGCAACGCCGCGUGAGUGAAGAAGGUUUUCGGAUCGUAAAGCUCUGUUGUAAGAGAAGAACGGGUGUGAGAGUGGAAAGUUCACACUGUGACGGUAUCUUACCAGAAAGGGACGGCUAACUACGUG